rnacentral:lncRNA from 1 species
AUGAUCCACGCCUGGAGACAGGCUCUGGGCCCAGAAGCCAGGUUUUCAAAGCUGCCCAGGCGAUCGGGAAGUCAGGUGAGGACCUCAGAACCUUGGGAAAAGCCCCCGAAAAAAAAAAAAACAGAAUCCAACCUCACCCAUGAGGCUUCUCCUGGGGCUCUUCCGUAUUUUCUGAGGUUUCUAAAACAAACAUUUCCCCAGGGCAGAAAACAGACCUUCCAAAGUAAAGUGCCCAGACACCCACGGCAACACAGACAGGCCCCCAGGCCCUGGGAACACAGACAGGCCCUGGGAACCUGGCGCUUUGCCCAUCGCCAUCCACCUGGAGGAGAGCGGCCAGCGCAGUCCUGCCAGCAUCUGCAAGGUGGCGGCUGCUCCAGAAACCCCAGGCCCCUUUCCUCUAAUCCCCUCCACACAGGAACAUCAAGAGCCACAGGGCAGCAGAGCCACCCACCCUGUGGUGGGAGCAUGGGCUGGGGUCUCCUCCUCGAGGCCAGGGCAAAGCUACAACCCCCAGCCAAGAGGGUCCCAGCUCGCCAGGGCCCAGAGCCGCAGCUGGACUCGCAGGCUCCCCGGCGAGCGCUGAAAAAGAAAUGGCCUCAGCACCACUGGUGGUUGUCACCACUGGGGUCGGGGAAGCCCAGGGAUGCUGCUCAACGUCCUACAAUGCGAAGAAUGGCCCAUCAGACGACAAUCUGGCCCCCAAUGUCCCUAGCGGCAACUGUCCCUCCAGCAAGCUCCAUAGCUGCCACUCCAGGCCAGGCAGGUGGCCCCGCUGGUCCAACUGCCCAUCUGCCACCUGCUGGUAAAAUCACCCCCAGGUCCUCAUACGCCCCAGCCAGGCCUGGGAAACCAAAAGACAAUACUGCUGGCUGUGGGGGUUCUCCCCCAGAGUCCGUUCCUUCCUGGACGCAGCUCACUGCGGAUGAAAAGUCGUACCGAGGAGAGCACACACUGUCAGGUCUCUCAAGGCAGCACAGGUGGUCGGAUGGCACCUUCACUACCCCACGGAAACCCGGUUGUCACCCAGCCACCAGGAGGCAGCGCAGGACGCGGCCAGUGGGAGUUCCUGACCCUCCUGCGAGGCCAGAGAUGAAAACAAGCCACCCUCGAAAGCGAGGCGCCGUUCUUGGCCUGCUGCUCCCUUCUCACCUGACUCAGGGGCCUCAGAGUUUCCCAGGAGAGCCGGCAAGCCCUGCCAGAUCAGUAGGCUCCUGGGGCUCAGCUGCCUACUGGGGGAGGGGAGGCUGUCACCGUCACCAGAGAGCCAGGCCUGCCUCAGGCCCAUCCUUGGAAGGUUUCAAGUUCCCUCCUUCUGUUCCCAGCCCACAGAGUCUGGCAGCAGAAACGGCUGAGGAGGCAGGCAGGGCCCCGGUCCACCCACAUCCAGCCCAGCACCCCCAGUCACCAGCCACACGCACACAGGUGAGUGGCCUCCUGAUGCUGGGCCUCAGUUUCCUCAUCUGUAAACUGGGAUGA